rnacentral:lncRNA from 1 species
UGAGUUGUUUAGGAGAGAUCCCCAUUUUGGUGAAAGCCUCCUGCGAGAGUAUAUUUGUUGCACUCCCAUUAUCAACCAGAAUCCUCUUCACUUUGAAGUUAGCCACGAUUGCAGAGACGAUCAAGGCAUUGUCAUGAGGAUAUGAUAUUCCUUCCAAAUUUCUUGCUCCAAAGGUGAUAUCUUUGACUUCAUCACGGGAUUCCCUUGGGGUAUAAGCAUGUUGGCGGGCAUACUGCUUUCGCCCACUAUUUGUGUCUCCUCCAGAUGCUAUGCCCCCAACGAUAAUAUUAAUGAUCCCAGCAGUGGGUUGAGCACUACUUCCGGCUCUAGGCUCUUUCUGAUUGUCACGAUCAUUUCUCGGGCGUUUAUCAUGACCAAUGUAAUUCCUUAAGAGUCCUCUUUUAAUAAGAGCUUCGAUUUUCCGCUGAAAAGCCUGACAAUCCUCCGUGGUAUGCCCAUGAUCUUGGUGAAAUUCACAAUACUUGUUCCUAUCUCUCAUGUCAGGGGGCGAUUUCAUUCUUGAAGUCCACUUUAAUUCUUUCAUAUCUUUGAUCUCUAUUAAGAUGUUUGUCGUGGAGGUGUUUAAUCGGGUGAGGAGCCCUGCUGGACCUUCAUUCUUGCAUUUUUCUCGAGGAUACUCCGGUCGAGAGAUGGGAUCAUGUUGCUUCCUAUUCUCAACCUUUUCAUGGGGAGGACCAGGUCUCCUUGGAUUUAGUGUUUUCUCCAUAUUAAUGUACUUUUCAGCUCGGGUGAGAAGCUCAGUUACUGUCUGUGGUGGGGUCUUUGAUAAAGACAUCUUGAAAGCAUCACAUCUUAUGGCGUAAGUAAGGGCGAAGACAGCCGCUGUGAUGUGAAGGUCGGGUAUCUGGAGCCUUUCUUUGUUAAACCUCGUUAUAAAUCCUCGUAGGAUUUCACUUGGUCCCUGGUAAAGUUGCAUGAGAGAGGCCGCAGUCUUUCUGAUUCGCUUGCUACUUGUAAAGAAGGCUGAGAACUUAUCAGCCAAAUCUGAGAAUGAGGC